rnacentral:rRNA from 1 species
GAACGCUGAAGCUUGGUGCUUGCACCGAGCGGAGGAGUUGCGAACGGGUGAGUAACGCGUAGGUAACCUGCCUCUUAGCGGGGGAUAACUAUUGGAAACGAUAGCUAAUACCGCAUAAAAGUCGACAUUGCAUGAUGUUGACUUGAAAGGUGCAACUGCAUCACUAAGAGAUGGACCUGCGUUGUAUUAGCUAGUUGGUGAGGUAACGGCUCACCAAGGCGACGAUACAUAGCCGACCUGAGAGGGUGAUCGGCCACACUGGGACUGAGACACGGCCCAGACUCCUACGGGAGGCAGCAGUAGGGAAUCUUCGGCAAUGGACGGAAGUCUGACCGAGCAACGCCGCGUGAGUGAAGAAGGUUUUCGGAUCGUAAAGCUCUGUUGUAAGAGAAGAACGAGUGUGAGAGUGGAAAGUUCACACUGUGACGGUAACUUACCAGAAAGGGACGGCUAACUACGUGCCAGCAGCCGCGGUAAUACGUAGGUCCCGAGCGUUAUCCGGAUUUAUUGGGCGUAAAGCGAGCGCAGGCGGUUAGAUAAGUCUGAAGUUAAAGGCUGUGGCUUAACCAUAGUACGCUUUGGAAACUGUUUAACUUGAGUGCAGAAGGGGAGAGUGGAAUCCCAUGUGUAGCGGUGAAAUGCGUAGAUAUAUGGAGGAACACCGGUGGCGAAAGCGGCUCUCUGGUCUGUAACUGA